rnacentral:rRNA from 1 species
UACGUAGGGUGCAAGCGUUAAUCGGAAUUACUGGGCGUAAAGGGCGCGUAGGCGGCCUUCUAAGUCGAACGUGAAAUCCCCGGGCUCAACCCGGGAACUGCGUCCGAUACUGGAAGGCUUGAAUCCGGGAGAGGGAUGCGGAAUUCCAGGUGUAGCGGUGAAAUGCGUAGAUAUCUGGAGGAACACCGGUGGCGAAGGCGGCAUCCUGGACCGGCAUUGACGCUGAGGCGCGAAAGCCAGGGGAGCAAACGGG